AAAAGAAUCAUUAUGUCAGUUCUGGUGGCCAUUAUUCCUUUUGGAUUCAUGAUAUCACCUCUUUUGGGAUCUUUUUGUGAAGAAAAUGCAGAAGGAAGGCUGUGCGAUGGACAUUCAACAGUUCCACAAAAUGUUUGCCCAAAUACAGAUGAUGAAUUUUGGACUUGCACUAAAAAAAAGAACGUUAGGUGCGCUUGCAUGGCGGGCUACUGGAGAAGAGGUGACAAGAAGUGUGUUCGCCGUGAAGAGUGCGAGCUGCAAGGAGAGAAAGAGAGUCCGCAACAGCCAGUGGAAACUGCUGAGCGGCCGGCAACUCACCCUGGAAUUAAGGACGCUAAUUACGAAGCAUCAAUGGCG